CGUUAUCCAUUUUUAAAAACUGUUUCCUUUUAAGAAGUGGGUCCGGGGUUCGAAUCCCCGCCGGGUCACCA
rnacentral:tRNA from 1 species